rnacentral:rRNA from 2 species
GGCGGGGUAAAUUUCAGCU